GUGCUGGAAUUUCAGCCUGAUUGUCCCAAAGCCUCUGUUCUUUUUACCCCACCAAACACACAAAUGCAGUUUCUUUUGUCAUUAGCCCAGUGCUUUUCCCUUGGAGUAGAUACAGUAGAUGCUGAUUUUUGCCUUCAUCAGCAAAAGUCUUUACCCCAGACACAUAACUGGAGAUCAGUCAUAGAACAGAGAGCACUAAUGUAGAAGGGCACAGGUCCCUUUGAUUACUGAACACUCAGGUCACUCGGAAGAGUGGAAGCCUCAUCAGAAACCUUCGGGUUUGACAGGACAUCUGUUUCCAGGAGCACGGUGGGUGUAAACAGAGCAGCUGCCAGCCUCUGUCCUGGUUGGGGUUUUGUGUUUGCUGGUUUUUCUUUUUUUUUUUUUUUAAACACAUUAUACUCUAUUAAAACCACCCCUAUUUGGCAUCAAAAGCAUUAAUAAAUCCCACAUAAGGCACAGUCCCUCCAGUGGUUAAUCAAUCCAUAAAAAUCUAUUUAGCACCUACUGUGUGUCCAGCAUUUCAAUCCCAUGACGUUGAUUAAAGCAGGAAGUAAGGAGUCACAGCUGCCAAAUUUUCACCAUGGCCACCGUGCUCUGUGAUGUGUCACAAAGGCAUUUGCCAAUCAUGCAAUCAACCAUUUACUGAGAACCUGCUUUGUUGCUCAACUCUGUGCUGGCGACUCUCAGGAAGACAGGGAAGGGCUACCUGGUUUCUGCCUGAGCAGCAAGUGAUGAAGGAGAGUGAGCGUAUGAGAGAGUAAGAGAGUGAGCCCAAUCGUGGACUGACCACACAAUUGACCCUGGUUUACUGUGAGAAAGGACACAGACUGUGAACACCAGGAGCUUGACUACAUUUCCCAGCGUCCUUUGGAGUGAGACUACAUCUCCCAGCAUCCUGGCAGUUAGACAAUUUUCUAGUCUCCUUUGCAGGGAUCUUGGAAGCCCCAUGUUGAAGGUGGCAGAGCAACAAAAAUUGAGGAAACCCUGAAUCCCUGAAUUACUAUUUGGAGAUGACCACCCACUAAUUCGGAACACUCAUUAUUGGGCUUUAGGAGAAUGAGAAGUUCUAUCAUGUUUGAGACUCCGUACAUCUUUGGAUUUGUUUUAACAGCUAGUUUUACCCUGGCUAACAUGGCAAUUGACAGCCUCUGAGAGGAGAUUUGGAGAAUCUGCUUUUUUAACAAGUACUCCAGGGGAGUUUGAGAAUCACUGCUGAAAGCCAAGGGGAGCCAGCCACCCAAGGAUUUAACGCUGACCAAGGAACACCACGCUAUUUGCAUUUUAGAAUGACAGCAAGGGAGCAGAACUCUGCCCCCUUCUUGUCUGCCAAGGAGAACAAUCUACUGACUCAAAAGAAAAAGAAAACUUUGGUAAGAGAAAAUUGAAGCUCUAGAUGAGUGAAAAGAUUCUAACAGCACCAAGCUGCCGUAAAUGAGCUCAAGUCUCCUGGCCAGGACAAAUUACACUCCAGGGAGUAGAGAGAACUCGCCUCUGAAGCUGUAAAGCCUCUGCUGAUAAUCUUUACAGAACAUGGAGACUGUGAAAGAAAUUGGAACGCUAGAAAUGGCAAAAUAUAGCUCUGAUUAGUAAAGAGGGGGAAAGCUUCUGCAAACUACAAAAGUGGGGCUAUCCUAUCCAUCCUCAUUAAAUUCCCUGAUCAGACUACUUAAGGCUGAGCUGUGAGUACGUGAAAAAUGGAGCAGAAUCCUCUAGAAGCCUGUGUGGGUUCUUUAAGAGCAAGCCACGACAAGAUGAAAAAACAAGAGCCUAAAGAAGGGAGGCAACUUUUCCAAAGCCACACAUUAAACCUGUGGCAGUUAAGAGCCAGAACUGUGGUAUCCUGGCCCUCAGCCCCACACCUCUACUGCAAUACCUGGGAUGUGGGCCCAUGGAUUGAUUUAUGGAUUUUGACUAACAUAUCUUCAAUUGAGCAAUCACUCGGAUGAUCGAUUGAACACUCCUUCACCAAACAAGGCUGGAGGCCUGGGAUGGACGCCGGUGGUUUGAGAUAUGCAGAAGAAAUGGGUCCUGCCCUCCGGAACACUCCAGAGAAUAUCAUGGCACUUUAUAACAUCAGUGUCAAUCAGCAUUGAUUGACAAGCCCCCUGGACUUUGGAUGACUUCUCUGAAGCCCCAGCUGUGCCUGGCUGGGCCAUCUCCCUUCUCCACUUGGCCACAGCAUAAACUGCAGUCAAGCCACAGGAGUGACCUCAAGGCCUCAGGCCACUUUUCCAGCCUCAGCUUUUCUUAGGGGCCCAGCCCACUUACAAUAGAAAUUUGCCAAAGACUGGGUUGGUAAGUAAUGGAUAAGUUUUCAUAUUUACUAUUUUCAUUUCUGAAUCUCUCUUUACAUGCAGUUAAGCCAGGAAAUCCUGAAAGAACACUCUUCAGAAUGUUUUUAAGUAAAACAACAAGUUUCUGUUAAUUUAGGGCCAACCCAUGAGUAAACA
rnacentral:lncRNA from 1 species